rnacentral:rRNA from 1 species
GAUGAACGCUAGCUACAGGCUUAACACAUGCAAGUCGAGGGGAAACGAUAUUGGAAGCUUGCUUCCGAUAGGCGUCGACCGGCGCACGGGUGAGUAACGCGUAUCCAACCUGCCCAUCACUUGGGGAUAACCUUGCGAAAGUAAGACUAAUACCCAAUGACGUCUCUAGAAGACAUCUGAAGGAGAUUAAAGAUUUAUCGGUGAUGGAUGGGGAUGCGUCUGAUUAGCUUGUUGGCGGGGUAACGGCCCACCAAGGCGACGAUCAGUAGGGGUUCUGAGAGGAAGGUCCCCCACAUUGGAACUGAGACACGGUCCAAACUCCUACGGGAGGCAGCAGUGAGGAAUAUUGGUCAAUGGGCGAGAGCCUGAACCAGCCAAGUAGCGUGCAGGAUGACGGCCCUAUGGGUUGUAAACUGCUUUUAUAAGGGAAUAAGGUGAGUCUCGUGAGACUUUUUGCAUGUACCUUAUGAAUAAGGACCGACUAAUUCCGUGCCAGCAGCCGCAGUAA